GCCACCCAAGCACCCCCUGAUCUAUUUUAUUUCUAUAUUUUUAUCCGAGUCAAAGAAGAAAGGAGACAGAGAAACCAAUUCAGGAGAGUGAAAAGAAGAGAGCAGAAGGGUGGAUGCAGUCAGGAACUCAGCGUUCUCCUUGCAUCUCUGCCACAAAUUUGCCGUGUGUGAUCCAGGAAAAAUCACCCAGCCUCUCAGAACUUUGGCUCCUACAUCUGCGAAAAGAGGUGACUAGAUAACCCUGAAGGUCUUCUCCAGCUUUCAAAUAUUAGCCCAUAGUAGGUGUUCCCUCAGUAAUUAUGAAGCAGCGAGAGAGUGAGCGGUUGUGGACCAAUGUCACACAUUUGGAUGAAAGCCGGAAAUGGAGAGGGAUUCCAUGGCUGAAUCAGGUCCACUUCAGAUUUGUCAUUUGUCCUUGGUGUAUUAUUCUGUGGACACUAAGAUAUGACAGGAUCCCUCAGAAAACUGCCGCGCCUCCUCAUCUCUGUGGCCCCAGGAUAUUGAGAAACCAAGCUGAAUAUAAAAUCCUUAAAAUCCUCCCAGCAGCCUGUUGAAGUAGGUACUAUUACUGAUUCAUUUUGCCACACAAAGACAUCAGGUCUCAGAGAUGCUACGUAACUUGUCUAGAGUCACACAGCUAGUGAGUCAUAGAACAGAGAUUUGGACCUACAGACUUCCACUCAACGUCUGUGCUCUUUCCACUCCUCUGUUCUGUAAGCCUCACCACAACUUCCUUUAAUCUUCCGAACAACUCAAUGGGCAGGGAAGGCAUCAUCAUGGCUUCUCUACAGAUGAGGAGACCAAGGCUUGAACGAGGACAGUCCCUUCCCCAGCCUAUGUGACUAGACAUUGGUGGAGCUGAUGAGAGAGUUCCCAGCUUUGGAUUCUGGAUGUGAGCCUCUGCACAGCCACAGGCUGCCUGCCCCCAGUUGGUGACCGGCCGGUGUCUCACCUGCCGGAGGGGACAACCUUAAUAAAGGAGGGGGGCCCCGGGCUGUUGCAACACUUGAGGAAUUCGUGUGCCUCUCAGGCCCCGUCUGAGCCCCUCACCACAGAGGUGAGGAGUGACAAGGGACAUCUUGGCUCCCAAGGGAUUCCAGUCACGCGAACUCCUCCAAUUAAGGCUGGAACGAUGUCAUCUCCUGAAAUAGCAUUUUAAUGAGUGAUGGCUCUGGGAUAAAUUGUCAUCUCGUGAUCUCUCGUUAGAGAGCUUAAUUAGACCCAUCAUAAAACAUAUUGAUCGAUGGCACGGAGCAGGUCCACAGGACAUCCACCACCCGCUGGAACAUUCCUGCCCACUGCUUGGUGGAGCCAGUGUGGGACCUGUCCCAGGCCCUGACAGCUGCUGGGGCACAGUUUCUUUUUGAGCACUUGGGCACCAUUUGCCAGGUUCUUUCUUCCCUCCCUUCUUUCCUUUUACAAAUAUUUAUUUAGCACCAACUGUAUACCAGGCACUGUCCUGCCCUCUUAUGCUUUAACCCAUUUUGUCUUCACAAAAAGCUGUUCUUUCCUUAUUUUGCAAAUGGUGAAACCAAGGCUUGGAACCCCGAGCUCUACUCGGUGC